GUGGGGAAUAUUGGACAAUGGGCGAAAGCCUGAUCCAGCAAUGCCGCGUGAGUGAUGAAGGCCUUAGGGUUGUAAAGCUCUUUUACCAGGGAUGAUAAUGACAGUACCUGGAGAAUAAGCUCCGGCUAACUCCGUGCCAGCAGCCGCGGUAAUACGGAGGGAGCUAGCGUUGUUCGGAAUUACUGGGCGUAAAGCGCGCGUAGGCGGUUUAUCAAGUCAGGGGUGAAAUCCCGGGGCUCAACCCCGGAACUGCCCUUGAAACUGGUUCACUAGAAUCCUGGAGAGGCGAGUGGAAUUCCGAGUGUAGAGGUGAAAUUCGUAGAUAUUCGGAAGAACACCAGUGGCGAAGGCGACUCGCUGGACAGGUAUUGACGCUGAGGUGCGAAAGCGUGGGGAGCAAACAGGAUUAGAAACCCUAGUAGUCC
rnacentral:rRNA from 1 species